rnacentral:rRNA from 1 species
CGCAGGUCAGCAUACUGCGGUGAAUACGUUCCCGGGCCUUGUACACACCGCCCGUCACACCAUGGAAGUUGGCCAUGCCCGAAGUCGUUACUCUAACCUUUUUGGAAGAGGGCGCCGAAGGCAGGGCUAAUGACUGGGGUGAAGUCGUAACAAGGUAGCCGUAGCGGAAGCUGCGGCUGGAUCACCUCCUAA